GAUGCAUUGAUUCAACUUAAAAAUAUUGUCUGUUUGGAUGUCAGAUGGAAUUUUUGAAAAUUCUUAAGCAUUUAAAAAAAUUCUAAUUAAAUAUUUCGUGGAAGGGCAGACUAAACAUUUUCAGUGGUUGAAGAUUAUAAACCCUAGACUGUCGUCAAGUACUUUUAAUAAAAUAAAAAAAUAGCUAUUCGAACACACCUACUCUGUUUUUGUGAUUCAUUAGAUAGGUAUCUCAAUUGACCCAUAUAUUUCAUCUUUUCGUACUGUCAUUUUUUUACGUUAUAAAGUCAACCUGUAGCUUUGAUAUAUAAUAAUGAUAGAAUCUGAAGCG
rnacentral:lncRNA from 1 species